UAUCUUCUCUCAUUCAUUACAGUGUCAUCUUUCAAUGCCAUGGAGGGCAAGCAGUAUCAUCAGGAAAUGCCAAGGACAACUACUUUCACUCAGUUACCUGGAACAUUUAGAAGCAGAAUGAGAAACAGCAGUGGGAUACUGGGUUCUAUUCAAGCAGACAGUGGGUGAUAUACAAUGAAUUAUUAAAUUGUGUGUCCUGAUAGCUCGAUCCCAUUCUAAGAACCUCUGCAAAAGUCAAGAGCUUUGUUCAAGAAGUCACCAAAAGUCCUGAUUUUCAAGCAAAGGCAUCUAGGAAAUAUCAUGAACUGACCUUUCUGCUGGUUAGUGAGUAAGUCUGUUCUUCUGGGCAGGAUUGCUGGAUAUCAAGCUUUGUAGCAAAGGCUCUUAAUCUGGAAGAGUUAAUGGAGUAUUCCUGAUUCAUCAGUGAGACAUCAAGGUUCCCUUUCUUGAAAGCUUCAACAAGGAUUUGUGAAAAUCUUUAAGGGAAGCAAUAUAUUGAGUACUUCCCUUUUAAUUUCAACCUCAGUUGAACUCUGAAUUCUUGAGAGACCAUCAUGGAGCUUUGAAGAAUGCAUUGCAUGUUCAGUUUGGAUAAAUUAAGUAGGUAGCCACCAAGAAAAAACCUUUUUCUUUUUUUGUAUAGAUGCAAAGUUUUUGGAGUUUUGACUGUUAAUAGUCAUUGUAGACUUACUGAUUUCUCCCCAAAUCCAUAAAUUUGAAUAAAAGAGUAUCUUUAGUGCAUUUAUUUGUAGGUAGAUGUUAUCAUUGUAAUUUGACACUGUUGGAAGCAAAUAAAUACUGU